rnacentral:snoRNA from 14 species
AGACUCAUUGUACAUAAGAAUGGGCAUUGUUGUUGGUCAAUGUCCAGAACUGGUCAAUGUGGCUAAAUUGAGAUACAGGUCAUGCUUCCAUUACAGCAGAUUAAAUUACAGUGGUUACAAUGAGACCUGCAACAUUU